rnacentral:rRNA from 1 species
UACGGAGGGAGCUAGCGUUGCUCGGAAUCACUGGGCGUAAAGGGUGCGUAGGCGGGUCUUUAAGUCAGGGGUGAAAUCCUGGAGCUCAACUCCAGAACUGCCUUUGAUACUGAAGAUCUUGAGUUCGGGAGAGGUGAGUGGAACUGCGAGUGUAGAGGUGAAAUUCGUAGAUAUUCGCAAGAACACCAGUGGCGAAGGCGGCUCACUGGCCCGAUACUGACGCUGAGGCACGAAAGCGUGGGAGCAAACAGGG